GAAUAAGGGCAUUGAACACAUUUCUGAUGUUGGGAAAGUGGCAGGAGAUGCCAGAGAAAAUAAAGAUGACACAGCAGUAGCAGCAAGGAUUCUAAACCCACAGGGUCCUGAACAAGAGGACUUGGAACAAGGUGCAGACGAUACUCAGCAAUGCAAAGAAUUCAAAAAAAGAGCAGGCCCUGGCGGCUUAGUUGGAGAUAAGGCCAGCAAACAACUCAGAAUUAUGCCAUAACUCCACUCUCAAAAAAGAGCAAAAUCACUGUGUGGUCUUAAAAAAUUAUAACUGACUGUUCAUGAUUUUUAACACCAGAGAGAUUUCUUCAGUGAAAAUUCUGAAGAUAGGAUAGGAUGGAUUCAGAGUGUUGGAAAAGUUGGCAAAAGAAUGACCAUCCAACUUCUGGACUUAGGUUUUCAAAACCUUUCAUUUUAUUUCUCUCUGGAUCUACACUCUGGUGCUCGUGGCUUGACACAGUGGCAUUUCUGCUCAAGAAAAAAGGAGGCAUGGAGUCUCAAACGAGUCUGCUUUCCCUCACCAACCUCUGCCAAUAUCUGCUAUCAAUUCAAAAUGACUUAUCCUGGAUUCAUUUGUCCUUGUUUAAAAUGAAACAUGGUCUGCCGGUUUUUAUAUAUAAUGCCUGAAAAAAAAAGAAAAAAAGAAAAGAAAACAAUCAAACGCAGAACAGAACUCAGCUGAUGUAAAGGCCCAUGGUAAAAUGCCAGUCUGGCUAAAAAUGAAAGAUCUUUCCUGAAUCCUGGGACAUUUACAGGGUGGAACUUACUGUGCUGCUGCUCUCUGAUGCCAACCUCUCUCCUAUCACAACUAUAUCAGCAUGCGUCAGUGCUGCCAUUCUGGCCACAGGCCAUGGGUAGUUUGAGCCCCACUGUGGCCUGACAGUGGAUGUUAUUGAUGGGUGCCACCAUCCUGCUCUCUGCACUGCUGGUGAGGGACCAGUGUGAACCCAGGAAUGAUUGGGCUAAAGUUAGUUACUGACUAGUAGUACUGUUAGUUGAAAAAUGCCACUUGAGUCCAUGGCUCCCGGUGCUGGAGGAAUGAACCCGUUGUGAACAAAAAUUAGCCAGGAUAUAUUCUGGGCUUUAUUAAAUUUCUUUAAAGCUUUCCAAGUCAUUUGCAGAAGUGUAGAUGAGCUUUAGCAAGAUGAUAGGUUAAGGAAGUGAAUGAGAACAUUGGACUGGAGAUACAAGGGUGAUGAAUUAGCGUGCCUUUGUGGAAGUAAGUCUCUUUCUGCAUCAAACUGCUGUUUCGACCUUCCUAAUUAAUGUUGUUGUUUUUCUUCUUACUGUAGUAUAAGCUGUCCUAGCCUGACCUAUUGGUUCACAAGAUAAAAGGGGUUAGCAAAUCAGGAUGGAGAUCCCCUCUACUGGCUUAUCCAAAUCUUUACUAAAACUGUAAUAUCCACGAACACAAAUAGAACAACACAUCUAAGAAUUAUGUAUCUCAGAGUUUAAAGAUGGGGGGUUAAAAAAAAGAAAUAGUCAAUGUUGCUUUGAGGUUAUUUUGAAAACUGAAACUGAAUAGGUCAAUACCCCUUAAGCUUUUUGGUCUUUAAUUCUCUUAAUGGUAUGGCAGCAAUCGUUAAUUGUAUUAUU
rnacentral:lncRNA from 1 species